rnacentral:snoRNA from 1 species
UUCCCCGUUUGCCUGCCACCUUUCUCCCAGUAGAUUUUCGUGGCUGUGCUGAGGGGAUAGAGUAACAUCGCCGUGAUCUGCAGGGGGGGAUUUGUCUGUGUCCUCCUAUAUGAAAUGGCUAAACAGAAAAAG